GGUAGUACCAACUAAAUAGUGCAACUUUACAUUCCUUGUCAUGGAUCAAAUUUUCUCCAUAUUCUCCAUUUGUAAAACUAUUUGGUGUGUGUGAUACUAAAAGAACUUAAAAUAAAAGGGCAUGUUGAAUACCCACAGAUGAAACAAAAUCACAUCAGUAGAUUGUCAUUGUCGUCGGUACACUGCAUGUUUGUUUAAAUGUGAAGCUACAGCCAGCUGUCGAUUAGCAUUCAAACUGAAAGCAAACUGUUAAUUCUCCUAGGUCUCUUUGGGUUUAAGCAUGUAUCUUUUGUCAUAAUCUUUACAGAAAACAUGUGUAAAAGAACCUAAAAAUAAAAAGAACAGAAUAGAACAAGUCAAGGUACAGAAAUGGCUCCAAAAUUGUAUAAAUUAAAAACAAUAAUUUUUAGCUUUUGGACUUUUUCCAAAACAAUCUGUACCCUUCAGUUCAUAUAUAGCUCUAAUAUGUCAAAAAUAUUAAGAAAAAACCCCACAAAGAAAUUAAUGUGCAUAAUGAUUAUCAAAAGAAAUGUUUCUCCCAUGUCAAUUUUAGAGAACUGUGCCUUUGGGUACAGAUGUAAAUGUAGCAUUUCUCUGUUUGUUGACAGACCACAGCCAACUUGACCUCAGACCUGAUUGAGAGAAAAGCCAAAAUGUAAACUCUAAUUGAUAUGUCCAUGAUUAAAAGUUUAUUUAUUUUUUUUAUUAAUGUCUGUUAAUGUCAAGACUUUUAAAAUUUUUGACAUAAAAUAAGAUUAGUUGAUUUUAGAUUGUUUACUUUUAAACAGAAACACAAAAUUUAAACUGGAAGAUGACAGAAACAAAAUGCUGAAAGUAUUCCAACAGUUACUAACAUUUUGCACCCUCCCAUUAAAAAACCUGGUGUUUUUCUGGACUAAAAUUUCUACUCUGAUAAUCAGAAUUCCUCCUGAUAGAUGGAGUGGAAAUGGAAGAUAAAUAAUGACCUCCAGAAAACUGGUUCAAGAAAAAGUUCCUCCAGUAGAAAUGCACCAACUAAGAAGUACCUCCUAGGCAGUAACUCUGGGGUAAAUUGUAAAUUGGUAAGCUGGUUUUAUUCUAAUCAUUUUAUCCUUGAAAAUAAUAAGAUAAAAUGCCAACCAAACGUACAGAAUCUGUUUAUGUCUUCAAAAUUGAGAAUCACUCAAAUAUUUUGAGAUGUUCCCCUUUCACUGCCAAAAUAUAUGUAUGUAAAGAUACCAAAUAUUUCACAGGUGUGUUCAUCUAUAUUUGUUUUUUUUCUGCUUUCAGUCCUUAUAGCUAAAUGUCUCCUAACAGCAGCUUCACAUUUAAUAGGACAUGGAAUCAACUUUCUGACCUCUCUAAAAGAAAGCACAUAAGCAUAAUUCACAUCUCCAGUUAUGUGGAGUUAUGAGAAAGAAACAACAUUAUGUCUUAACAGCUAAUUAGCAUCUACUUUUAAAAGGUGGAGUAUGAUGCAAAAUGACGGAGAACACAUUGAUAAAAGUGACAUUUCACUCAAAAAGGAGGAAUGAG